GGAUCGUCGCCAUGGUCCUGCGAUCCUAGGAGUCGGGCAAGGCGGAACCUGCCUGAAGAAACCUCAAGCGGAGAUUCAAGGAAGCACCACGUGAUCCCUAAGGAUCCCAAAGAUGCGUCGGGCAUGCAUGGGCGGUGUGAGGGUGCGUCUCCCUGACAGGUGUCCCCGCUGGGAUUUCGAGGAAUUAUCCGAUGAAAAGUAGAAGAGGUUGAAUGACUUUCAGUGGCCUUUUCUUCACAGGGCUCACCUGAAACUUCAUGUACCAUUGCACUUCCUGAGAAGCUGUCCCCAAUCCCAGGCUCCUAGCAAUGCUGUUCCAGUAAUCUCUCUUCUGUAAGACAGCCACUCCACCCACUGCAGUCUACAAGGAAAGCCUCCAUAGCUCUGGCUAUAGCAAGGUACUGGAUGCCAGUCCAGGCACACAGAGACAUCACUCUGAACUGGUACAUUCCAGGAAAUCCCAAGGUGAACUUGACUAUGAUCAUCCUCUCUUGUUGGUUCCUGGGCAAGAGGGUUGUAGAAGGCAGAAUAAAGGCCCCCCAAACAUGUCCACAACCUAAUCCCUGAAACAGUAACAGUACUGACUCAAUGAUAAAGAAAAGCUUGCUUGCUUAAAUAUAAUUAUUACUUUGCUUGACUUUGUAGAUUAUUCAGUAAGAACAGUCUCAGGAAAACAGGACCUUCAACAGAGAUAAGAGAAUUAAAAUAUGCAGACUAACAACUCUGGGAAUGGGCUGACCAGCCUGAUAAGAAUAGGCUGAUG
rnacentral:antisense_RNA from 1 species